CAGAUACGUGUCCUAAGGCAUUCAGCUGAAUGUUUGGGUUUUAGGGAAGGAAGGAUAUUCCAUGUGCAACAUUCAGUAUUGGAUGAUCUGGAUUCAGUACAGAAAGCCUGGACUUUUGAGCCUAAACAGGAUCUGAAGCAGAAGGAUGAAAAACAGAUCAACCAACAACAAGAAUCAACCAUCUUGGUUUCUCAUUUGUCAAUAAUGGGCAAUAGUCCUGCCCACAUAUCAGGGAAUGUAUAUGCCAUAAUUAAAUACUAAUGCUUCUAUCUUCU